rnacentral:rRNA from 1 species
AACGACUCUCGGCAACGGAUAUCUCGGCUCUCGCAUCGAUGAAGAACGUAGCGAAAUGCGAUACUUGGUGUGAAUUGCAGAAUCCCGUGAACCAUCGAGUCUUUGAACGCAAGUUGCGCCCGAAGCCUUCUGGCCAAGGGCACGUCUGCCUGGGUGUCACACAACGUAG